CCUACGGGACGCAGCAGUGGGGAAUAUUGCACAAUGGGCGCAAGCCUGAUGCAGCCAUGCCGCGUGUAUGAAGAAGGCCUUAGGGUUGUAAAGUACUUUCAGUUGGGAGGAAGGCGUUGAUGCUAAUAUCAUCAACGGUUGACGUUACCAACAGAAGAAGCACCGGCUAACUCCGUGCCAGCAGCCGCGGUAAUACGGAGGGUGCAAGCGUUAAUCGGAAUUACUGGGCGUAAAGCGCACGCAGGCGGUUGAUUAAGUUAGAUGUGAAAUCCCCGGGCUUAACCUGGGAAUGGCAUCUAAGACUGGUCAGCUAGAGUCUUGUAGAGGGGGGUAGAAUUCCAUGUGUAGCGGUGAAAUGCGUAGAGAUGUGGAGGAAUACCGGUGGCGAAGGCGGCCCCCUGGACAAGGACUGACGCACAGGUGCGAAAGCGUGGGGAGCAAACAGGAUUAGAUACCCGUGUAGUC
rnacentral:rRNA from 1 species